rnacentral:lncRNA from 9 species
CCAGAAGCCAACCUACAAUGUGGCAGGUUUGUGCAGCCAGGAAGGGAGGUGCCUUCGGAGAGGAGGCGGGGCCGCUCCGGGCGCGGGCGGGGCCCCAGCUCCGCGCGCUCAGCCCCUCCCAGGCCGCGGGGGAAAGGAGGAGAGACCUACAUUUAAAAAGGCAGGAACCAGCCUAGCGCCGAGAUCCAAAAAUGCCCGGGGAAACCUCCACUCACUGUGAACACGUUUAAAAGAUAUAAUCAGGGGAGCCAAGAUGGAAAUGGGCAAAAUGGUUGUCUUGAACCUUUUGCCAGAAGGUAUUUCCACCUUUCCUGGACGAGUAUGCUUGUGGGAGAAUGGACACAGUGAACUUAUGCCUCAAGAGAAGAGUUCUAGUUGCUCAAAGAUGUGGGAAUUUGAACCCUCAAGUUCCUAUGGAACCACUGGGCUUCUAUUCGGUCUAUAAGGCAAAAGGCUAU